GAUGAACGCUGGCGGCGUGCCUAAUACAUGCAAGUCGAGCGAACAGACGAGGAGCUUGCUCCUCUGACGUUAGCUGCGGACGGGGGAGUAACACGUGGAUAACCUACCUAUACGACUGGGAUAACUUCGUGAAACCGGAGCUAAUACCGGAUAAUAUAUUUAACCUCAUGGUUCAAUAGUGAAUGACGGUUUUGCUGUCACUUAUAGAUGGAUCCGCGCCGCAUUGGCUAGUUGGUAAGGUAACGGCUUACCAAGGCAACGAUGCGUAGCCGACCUGACAGGGAGUACGGCCACAGAGGGGAUGAGCAGCGAUACAGACUCUGACGGAAGGCAGCGGCAGGGAAUGUUGCGCGAUGGGCGAAAGUCUGACGGAGCAGCGCAGGGCGGGUGAAGAAGGUCCUCGGGUGGUAAAACGCUGUUAUGAGGGAAGAACAAAUGUGUAAGUGAAUAUGCACGUGUUGACAGUAGAUAAUCAGAAAGCCGCGAAUAACGUG
rnacentral:rRNA from 1 species